AUGGUGACAGUUCCUUGGAAAUUCUCUCUCCACUAUUUCACAGAUCCUCCCAAAGCCCCCAAUGUUUUCCCACUGAUUCCUACUGGCCCAACCCGGGUGGCCAGGGUGACUUCCACUGGCUUCAAUGUUAGCAUUGGUUGCCUCAUCAAAGGCUACUUUCCUGAACCAGCCACAGUACAAUGGAAUUCAGGUGCCAUCAUCAGUGGAAUCCACCACUUCCCUCCAGUUCGGCAUGCAUCCAGCCACACCAUCCUGCUCACCAUCCCUGCCACCCAGUGGGAAUCUGAGUUAUUCUUCUGCAAUGUGGCACAUGAAACCACCAACCCAAGAAUCAACAAACAUCAGAUUUAUCAAUAUGAAACUUUUGGCACUGUAAGUCUUCAUGUCCCUUUUCUUGCAUUUUCUUGCUGGUCACAUGAGAAGCAAAUCGUCAUGCAUCCAGAAUUAGUGGCUGUGACUGAGGAAAACAAUGGGACCUUCACUGCUGUCAGCCACCUCCCUGUUUCUGCCCAUGAUUGGGAAUUGGGAGAGAUUUUCACCUGUUCGGAAGAAUAUACAGGUUUGCCUGGUCCCAUCGUGAAGACAAUUUCCAAGAGCAGUGGUAAAGAGGAAGCAGAGUGGCUCUCCACCCUGCAAACCAAUGAAUUUAAUUUCUCAAUAUUUUGGGGUAACUUUUCCCCACAUCGUACUGAUGUCCAGUGGCUAGAGAAUGGCAUUGCCAUUUCAGAAGAUGAUUACAUCAACACUCCAGCUGUGAAGAAAAAGAGUGGUGAUUCCUACAUCCAGUAUAGCAAAUUGACAAUCCCCGAUGCAUCUUGGAAUCAUGGGAACAUGUAUAGUUGUAUGGUUAUCCAUGAGGCCCUUGGAAUGAAGGUCACCCAGCAGACCUUCAGGAAAACUUUCGGUAAACGUUGA